CAGUCGCCACGGUAAUACGAAGGGGGCUAGCGUUGUUCGGAAUUACUGGGCGUAAAGCGCACGUAGGCGGAUACUUAAGUCAGGGGUGAAAUCCCGGGGCUCAACUCCGGAAUUGCCUUUAAGACUGCAGAGCUAGCAGGUGAGAGAGGUAAGUGGAAUUCCGAGUGUAGAGGUGAAAUUCGUAGAUAUUCGGAAGAACACCAGUGGCGAAGGCGGCUUACUGGCUCAUACUGGACGCUGAGGUGCGAAAGCGUGGGGAGCAAACAGGAUUAGAUACCCCCGUAGUCCCUGUCUCUUAUAC
rnacentral:rRNA from 1 species